UAGAAAGGCUGGAAAUCCCCGAGUUUGUAUAUAAAGGGACGGGCAUGAGGCGUUCCAUCACAACAAGUGAACACUCCGAGCAAAGCAGUGCAGAACUUGUCCCCGGGUGAGAAAGAUGAAUCGCGGCCUGUUGUUGUUGGCGGUGGUGUUGGUGGCGGUGUGCGUGACCACCAGUGAAGCAGGCGGAAGCAUCGGCAUAUGUCCAGUAGUGACCAACUGCAGUGGACGGCCAUGCUACUCCAACCAAGGUUGCUCACCACGCCAAAUAUGCUGCCCUACAAUAUGUGGCGGGAGAGCUUGCACAAAUGUUGGUCCGUAUGGGCGCCGCUAACCACCACCACCACCACCACCACCACUUUGACCUGAGACGAAAUAUGAAUCUGAUGUUAACUGUUGCUGAUUGGUGUUGUUAAAGAAUGAUGAAUAAAAAUUGGCUAAAAUGUAA